rnacentral:rRNA from 1 species
AUGGAGCAUGAUCGGGUGGAUGGGGAUGAGGAGGAAAAUUGGAAUCACCAUGGCCCAGAUCCAAAUCUGGAGGAUGUGUUUGAAGGCCUAAACUUACAUGGUGAGGAGGAGGAAGAUCUAGAUCUUUCAGGGGAGGUUGAUGAGUUAAUCAAGGAUGUGAGAUGGCUGUCUCUCUUUAGGGUUCAUACCCUACGCCCAUUCAGUCACACGGCCCUGUUAAACUCCAUGAGGAAUGCUUGGGCGUGUGCUCAAGGUGUGACGUUCAACAUCAAGGGACCUAAUUUGUUCUUGACGUAAUGCCAUUGUUUGGGAGACUGGAAGAGGGUUAUGGAAGGAGGACCGUGGCAGUUUAGGAGAGAUCCAGUGGUUUUGGUUGAAUAUGAUGGGUUUACUAAUGUCUCUGAUUACUCGUUGGACAUGUAUCCAAUAUGA